CUUGAGGAGUGGCUUCCCGAGCUAACGCGUUAAAUCGACCGCUGGGGAGUACGGCCGCAAGGUUAAAACUCAAAUGAAUUGACGGGGGCCCGCACAAGCGGUGGAGCAUGUGGUUUAAUUCGAUGCAACGCGAAGAACCUUACCUACUCUUGACAUCCAGAGAAUUUAGCAGAGAUGCUUUAGUGCCUUCGGGAACUCUGAGACAGGUGCUGCAUGGCUGUCGUCAGCUCGUGUUGUGAAAUGUUGGGUUAAGUCCCGCAACGAGCGCAACCCUUAUCCUUUGUUGCCAGCACGUUAUGGUGGGAACUCAAAGGAGACUGCCGGUGAUAAACCGGAGGAAGGUGGGGAUGACGUCAAGUCAUCAUGGCCCUUACGAGUAGGGCUACACACGUGCUACAAUGGCGUAUACAAAGAGAAGCGACCUCGCGAGAGCAAGCGGAACUCAUAAAGUACGUCGUAGUCCGGAUUGGAGUCUGCAACUCGACUCCAUGAAGUCGGAAUCGCUAGUAAUCGUAGAUCAGAAUGCUACGGUGAAUACGUUCCCGGGCCUUGUACACACCGCCCGUCACACCAUGGGAGUGGGUUGCAAAAGAAGUAGGUAGCUUAACCUUCGGGAGGGCGCUUACCACUUUGUGAUUCAUGACUGGGGUGAAGUCGUAACAAGGUAACCA
rnacentral:rRNA from 1 species